AACGAACGCUGGCGGCAUGCCUAACACAUGCAAGUCGAACGGGAUCCGGACUUCGGUUCGGUGAGAGUGGCGGACGGGUGAGUAACGCGUGGGAACCUGCCCAGUGGUGGGGGAUAACUGCGGGAAACUGCAGCUAAUACCGCAUGAGCGCGAGAGGGGAAAGAUUUAGCGCCAUUGGAGGGGCCCGCGUUCGAUUAGGUAGUUGGUGAGGUAAUGGCUCACCAAGCCGACGAUCGAUAGCUGGUCUGAGAGGAUGAUCGGCCACACUGGGACUGAGAUACGGCCCAGACUCCUACGGGAGGCAGCAGUGGGGAAUAUUGGACAAUGGGGGCAACCCUGAUCCAGCAAUGCCGCGUGAGUGAUGAAGGCCUUCGGGUUGUAAAGCUCUUUUGCCAGGGACGAUGAUGACGGUACCUGGAGAAUAAGCCCCGGCUAACUUCGUGCCAGCAGCCGCAGUAAAAC
rnacentral:rRNA from 1 species